UACGAAGGGGGCUAGCGUUGCUCGGAAUCACUGGGCGUAAAGCGCACGUAGGCGGAUCUUUUAAGUCAGGGGUGAAAUCCUAGAGCUCAACUCCAGAACUGCCUUUGAUACUGGGGAUCUCGAGUCCGGAAGAGGUGAGUGGAACUCCGAGUGUAGAGGUGAAAUUCGUAGAUAUUCGGAAGAACACCAGUGGCGAAGGCGGCUCACUGGUCCGGUACUGACGCUGAGGUGCGAAAGCGUGGGGAGCAAACAGGG
rnacentral:rRNA from 1 species